GAUGAAGAACGUAGCGAAAUGCGAUACGUAAUGUGAAUUGCAGAAUUCAGUGAAUCAUCGAGUCUUUGAACGCACAUUGCGCCCCUUGGUAUCCCGAGGGGCAUGCCUGUUCGAGCGUCAUUUCACCACUCAAGCCUGGCUUGGUGUUGGGCGACGUCCCCUUUGGGGACGCGCCUCGAAACGCUCGGCGGCGUGGCACCGGCUUUAAGCGUAGCAGAAUCUUUCGCUUUGGAAGUCGGGGCCCCGUCUGCCGGAAGACCUACUCGCAAGGUUGACCUCGGAUCAGGCAGGGAUACCCGCUGAACUUAAGCAUAUCAAUAAGCGGAGG
rnacentral:misc_RNA from 1 species